AAGAUAUCCACAUUAUUUCUCUAACUCAGAUUGCUGAAGCCUCAUAUUAACUUCAGAUAAACGUUGGCAUAUUUUUUUGUGUGAUAACAGCUUGCAAAAGCUCUUUUAAUGAACAUCUGGGCACCUGGGUGUUGUUUUUGAGA